GCCAGCAAAGGAAAUUUUUAGUCUAUGGGUUCUGCACGGUGGCUCUUUUAAAAGUUUUUUAUAUAUACUGUUAAAAUGGCCGUCAUGCAAAAUUCAAGGGCUAAAUAAGCAACGAAACGUGCA
rnacentral:precursor_RNA from 15 species